GUAGAAAGUGCCCAAGAACUGGCCGGAAGACAUUUGAGUGGAUUAUCCCCAGGUCCUUGAGUCUGCAGAGUUCCUUAAAUUUCUGAUAAAACAAUCUGCUUUCUCCCUCUGCCAGAGCAAAGCAACCUCUCCUUGCCUGUAGACAAUGUGAAGACCUACCUCAGUUCAGGGCUUCACAGUGUUUUCCUGUCUUCAAGCUCUACCUCCACCACCCCUCAAUGCCUCCACACCAACAUCCGGGAUCACAGUUUAGCACUGUCCAGAGAAAGACUAUCUUGGCCUCAGGAAAAAACCCCCAGCAGUUUCCCCAGAGAAUUGCAGAACUUGACUAAUAUCACUAGGACAAUCGGCUGGCAUGGACAUAGGAGGACCUCUAAAGACAUUGUGGCUCAUCUGGAAAGGACCUGGACGAAGAAACUGAGCUCUCAAUUCAAAGACCACACAGCUUGCUAUCUUUUUUGCACAUCUCUAAGUAAAAGAAGAGGACGCAAAAGGAUGCUUUCUUGAGUGAAUUGGUGCAGGGCCUGUGCUACAACAUAGAAGGUCCAGUGCACAGAAAGAAGCCCUCCUGGGAAAGAUAUUUCUUUAAUCCAAAUAUUUUAUAAAUUCUGUAAAGACAUUAUAACUGAGCAUUAGAAACUCUUACAUGUGACACACAGAAUUCUC
rnacentral:lncRNA from 1 species